UACGUAGGGGGCUAGCGUUGUCCGGAAUCAUUGGGCGUAAGAGCGUGUAGGCGGCCCGGUAAGUCCGCUGUGAAAGUCGGGGGCUCAACCCUCGAAUGCCGGUGGAUACUGUCGGGCUAGAGUGCGGAAGAGGCGAGUGGAAUUCCUGGUGUAGCGGUGGAAUGCGCAGAUAUCAGGAGGAACACCGAUAGCGAAGGCAGCUCGCUGGGACGGUACUGACGCUGAGGCGCGGAAAGCCGUGGGGAGCGAACAGG
rnacentral:rRNA from 1 species